rnacentral:rRNA from 1 species
AUUGAACGCUGGCGGCAUGCCUUACACAUGCAAGUCGAACGGCAGCGGACCUUCGGGUGCCGGCGAGUGGCGAACGGGUGAGUAAUGCAUCGGAACGUACCUUUCAGUGGGGGAUAACGUAGCGAAAGUUACGCUAAUACCGCAUAUUCUGUGAGCAGGAAAGCAGGGGAUCGCAAGACCUUGCGCUGAUUGAGCGGCCGAUGUCAGAUUAGCUAGUUGGUGAGGUAAAGGCUAACCAAUGCGACGAUCUGUAGCGGGGCUGAGAGGAUGAUCCGCCAAACUGGGACUGAGAGGCGGCCCAGACUCCUACGGGAGGCAGCAGUGGGGAAUUUUGGACAAUGGGGGCAACCCUGAUCCAGCCAUGCCGCGUGAGUGAAGAAGGCCUUCGGGUUGUAAAGCUCUUUCGGCCGGGAAGAAAUCGCACAGGCUAAUACCUUGUGUGGAUGACGGUACCGGAAUAAGAAGCACCGGCUAACUACGUGCCAGCCGCCGCGGUAAUAC